UUCGUGUUCAUAUUAUAAAAACGUAGGUUAUUUGUGUGUGUUUUUUUAUUACUAUCAUUGUAUACUCAUUUUACGAUCUUUUACUAUUUCAUUAAAAGAUCAAAAUAAAUUACUUAAAUUCUUUUUCUAUGCCCAUUAAAAUGUUUGUAGCAUUUCACUCUUUAUAAUGUGCCAAACUUUGUAUUUUGGAAGGCAAAAUUUGUUUUUAAUUUCUACAACUUUUAUUCGAAACGGC
rnacentral:lncRNA from 1 species